GAUGAACGCUGGCGGCGUGCUUAACACAUGCAAGUCGAACGAAGCACUCUAUUUGAUUUUCUUCGGAAAUGAAGAUUUUGUGACUGAGUGGCGGACGGGUGAGUAACGCGUGGGUAACCUGCCUCAUACAGGGGGAUAACAGUUGGAAACGACUGCUAAUACCGCAUAAGCGCACAGGACCGCAUGGUUCGGUGUGAAAAACUCCGGUGGUAUGGGAUGGACCCGCGUCUGAUUAGCCAGUUGGCAGGGUAACGGCCUACCAAAGCGACGAUCAGUAGCCGGCCUGAGAGGGUGACCGGCCACAUUGGGACUGAGACACGGCCCAAACUCCUACGGGAGGCAGCAGUGGGGAAUAUUGCACAAUGGGGGAAACCCUGAUGCAGCGACGCCGCGUGAGCGAAGAAGUAUUUCGGUAUGUAAAGCUCUAUCAGCAGGGAAGAAGAAUGACGGUACCUGACUAAGAAGCACCGGCUAAAUACGUGCCAGCCGCCGCUGUAACAC
rnacentral:rRNA from 1 species